AUGAGUAAUAAAGUAAUUUUUUCUUCCAAAGGGUACAAGCUUGCUAUUGUUCAAACCGAAAAUAAUCCAAGCAACAAGUUUGGAGGAGCUGGUAUGGUGACUGCUAUUUAUACUCCUCAUGUGAAAGGCCAACAACAUAGUGCUUGUCGGUUGAAAAUACAAAAAGGAUCAGAAAAUAUACAAGUUGGAUGGAGAGUGGAUCCUACACUUUAUGUAGAUGGUCGAAGUAGGCUAUAUACACAUUUUCAAG